AUUGAACUCUGGCGGCAGGCCUAACACAUGCAAGUCGAACGAGUGGCGGACGGGUGAGUAAUGUCUGGGAAACUGCCCGAUGGAGGGGGAUAACUACUGGAAACGGUAGCUAAUACCGCAUACCAUCGGAUGUGCCCAGAUGGGAUUAGCUAGUAGGUGGGGUAACGGCUCACCUAGGCGACGAUCCCUAGCUGGUCUGAGAGGAUGACCGGCCACACGGGAACUGGAACAGGGCCCAGACCCCUACGGGAGGCAGCAGGGGGGAUUAUGACACAAGGGGCGAAGGCCGAAUGAAGCCAGGCCGGGUGUAUGAAGAGGGCCUUGGGGUUGUAAAUAACUUUAAGGGAGGAGGCGUUACACGAAGAGGAACACCGGCUAACUCCGUGCCAGCAGCCGCGGUAAUUC
rnacentral:rRNA from 1 species